AAGAGGUCGAUUUGGCAGACGCUGCUGGCUAACCACCAACAUCUUUUAUAAUAAAAUGCCUUAGUUUUGUAAGACAUAUGGUCACCCAGUGAGUUGGAUUCUGAAAACAAAUGGACCUGAGUACCUUUGACCUGGUUCCCAGUGGCUGACAUGCAGUUACGAGCGCGUGAUCUGGACCUUGGACUCCGAGAUAGAAAUUUCCAGUUAAGGAUGGCAGAGUUGCCUAACCAGCCCAGCGCUAUCUGGGUCUGAGAUAUUUUGUGUAUGAAAAAUAAACGUUAACUAUGUUUAAGCCA